AUAGGCUGAUUCUACAGUAGGUUGUUAAUGAUAGGCUGAUUCUACAGUAGGUUGUUAAUGAUAGGCUGAUUCUACAGUAGGUUGUUAAUGAUAGGCUGAUUCUACAGUAGGUUGUUAAUGAUAUCCUGAUCAUACAGUAGGUUGUUAAUGAUUGGCUGAUUAUACAGUAUGCUUUUAAUGAUAGGCUGAUUAUACAGUAGGUUGUUAAUGAUAGGCUGCUUCUACAGUAGGUUGUUAAUGAUAGGCUGAUUCUACAGUAGGUUGUUAAUGAUAGGCUGAUUAUACAGUAGGUUGUUAAUGAUAGGCUGAUUCUACAGUAGGUUGUUAAUGAUAUCCUGAUCAUACAGUAGGUUGUUAAUGAUAGGCUGAUUAUACAGUAGGUUGUUAAUGAUAGGCUGAUUAUACAUUAGGCUGUUAAUGAUAGGCUGAUUCUACAGUAGGUUGUUAAUGAUAGGCUGAUUAUACAGUAGGUUGUUAAUAAUAUCCUACUUUUACAGUAGGUUGUUAAUGAUAGGCUGAUUAUACAGUAGGUUGUUAAUAAUAGGCUGCUUCUACAGUGCAGAAAUAAGUAUUUUGCAGAAAUACAGUAAGUGUUUAGUGUUUUAACGUAAGUUAUUUUUGUGUGUUGCUGUCCAUUGACUGAUGGGGGAUAUCAGGCUAUUUUGUUAUUUUUAUAUGAAUUAUUGAAUAACUCAUUGUACUCCGUUGAUGUGAUAUGUGUACUUAUUAAGGUAGCGAGGUAUUGUAGUGAUGCACAGUGGUGAUUUCUAGUCACAAUAUGCCAGCAGCAGACCACCCUGCAUCCCACUGCUGGCUUGCUUCUGAAGCUAAGCAGGGUUGGUCCUGGAUGGGAGACCAGAUGCUGCUGGAAGUGGUGUUGGAGGGCCAAUAGGAGGAAUUGUAGUGAUGCACAGUGGUGAUUUCUAGUCACAAUAAACUACUAAUGUUUUCAGUUAAUACUCUUCAGGAUUUUGUAUGAUUUUUAUUAGCCUGGGUGCCAGUCUGUAUAGCCAGUUAUACAUGAUUUUUAUUAGCCUGGGUGCCAGUCUGUAUAGCCAGUUAUACAUGUGUCACGUCCUAACCAGUAAAAGGGGUUGUUUGUUAUUGUAGUUUGGUCAGGGCAUGGCAGGAGGUGUUUGUUUAGGGUGUUUCGGGGUGUUUUGGUUUAUGUUCUAUGUUAGUGUAUUUCUAUGUUCGUUCUAUUUGUUCUAUUUCUAUGCGUAGUUUAUUGGGUUGAUCUUCAAUUGGAGGCAGCUGUUCCUCGUUGCCUCUAAUUGAAGGUCCUAUUUAAUAGAGGUGUUUUUGUCAUGGGAUUUGUGGGUAGUUGUUUCUCUGUAUAGUCAUUUUGUCCUUACGAGACAGUUUUUUCGCCGUUGUUUUGUGUCACGUUUCUUUAUAAAUAAAGAAGAAGAUGAGCACUUACAUUCCCGCUGCGUUUUGGUCCACUCCAUACGACGAAUGUGACAACAUGAGUUUUAUUAGCCUGGGUGCCAGUCUGUAUAGCC
rnacentral:lncRNA from 1 species